AAAGUCAGGGUCAGAGUUUGGGAAAUUUAAGUUCAAUCCUCAACAAAAUUUACAGCUGAGAAAUCUGAUGUUCUGUGAAAAAACUCUAAAUAUACCAUACAAAUAAACUAGUCUUCAAAUGAAUCAAGUUCAGUUUGUUGGUUUACCUGCAUCUUACAACUAGGAUGAACUGAACAUAUACAAAUAGAGUCAAGAGACAUCGCUUUAAGGUUAAAAAAAGGUUGAACCUUGCUUUACUAUGUUAACCUGUUGUUAAUACAGGUCGCUUCCUCUCACUAAAAAGUAAUAUUUUAUAGUAUUUUUUUGUGUGUGCAUGUAUCGUUCUACUCCCUAGUUUUUACUUAUUCCUUAUAUUACACUGCUGGCAUUGCCAUCAAUUACAGUUUGGGUUUGAGUGUCUUGCCCAACUAUACUUUGGUAUCUGGACAUCAGGACUCCGAAUCAAACCAUACUCUUUUAAAUUGAAGAGGACCAACUCUACUACUGACCCACAGUCACUCCUGCCCAUCAGUAGUGGUGUGACAAUAAUGCAGACCUUUAUAAAUGACUCUCUGCAUACAAGUAUGGCAAACAAUCUGUUCCAGAUCAACAAUACAAACUUCAGCAACAAAUUAGCUCAACACUUAGUUCAGCCUCCAGACAACCUCCAGACAUGCACAAAGUUCGAGAAACUCCCCAGAAUUACUUAGAUGAGCUGCUAGUGUUAGUGCAGAAUUAAAAUAUGUGAAAGCAUAAAAUCUGAGACUCUGUAAUUUUAAUCUUUGAUACGAUUGUGAAACCUCAUACCAUGACCUGAUGCCAUAUAUUGACAAUCCCCUCACCUUCCAUAAGAGGGACGACUUUUUUCAAGAUAACAUCUUAUACAUGAACCAGGGUCGUUAUGGGCUCAAGAAAAUGAUGGGUUAAUUUUUUUGCAAACAAUCCUUGAGGGGGAAAUUUGACUUGUUUUGAUCUGCAUCAUAUGGUUGCUCCUUAAGUUGCAAAAUAGACUAAUAAAUAAAAUGAUGUGCCUGAACCGAGAGGUUGCUGCAAGUCUGGUCUCUCUGUAUUAUCUGUAAUUUUUGUAAUUUAUGCUAGAUUUUUUUCAUAUUUUUGUUGGAUGCUUCUGCUGGGUGAAGAGUUUACUCAAGACAAGAGCUCCUUUCAUUAAGGAAAAGCAAAUCUGGACAACAACAUACAAUUCCAGAGGACAUCAGGAGGUGUUAUCAUGGUUGCCGUGCUGGUGCAAAGGUUAAGGCAAAGCUGAAUGCUAGGAGGUGGCGAUCUAAACCCUUUCUCCCAUCAAUCAUCAUGGGAAACGUCAACUCUCUGCCCAAAAAAAGCGAUGAGCUGGAGAUCUUGGUGAAGGCUGAGAAAGCAUACCGUAAGUGGUUUCCUGUGUUUUAAUGAAACCUGGUUGAAUCAAAACAACUCGGACUCCAGUGUGGGUCUACCUGGCUUCACUCUCAUAAGGUCAGACAGAGGUGCUCAAGCUAGUGGCAAGAAGACAGAAGGAGGUCUGGCUUUAUUUGUCAACCAGAGAUGGUGUAACCCUUCACUCAUAACUGUCAAGGAGAAGUUGUGUUGUCCAGAUAUUGAACUGUUGGCAGUUGCUCUUCGGCCAUAUUAUGUUCCCAGAGAAUUUAGUCAUAUCAUAACAGUAGUUGCUUACAUUCCACCCAAAUCAACUGAAGAAUGUUGUGAUGUUUUGCAAAAUAGUGUUGCCAGGCUACAGACUCUGCACCCUGAGGCACUAAUAAUAAUAUCGGGAGACUUCAACCAUGUCACCCUCUCCUCUCACCUGACUGGAUUCACACAGUUUGUGAACUGUCCUACCAGAGAAAACAAGACCCUGGAUCUGCUGUAUGCCAACGUCAAAGAAGCCUACAGAGCCACUGCCUUACCACCAUUGGGCAAGUCAGAUCAUAACUUGGUCUAUCUGCAAACCUGUUACAGACCUUGUGUGCUGAGGCAGCCUGUGACCAAAGUCAAAAUCAGAAGAUGGACACCUCAAGCCAGUGAAGCUCUAAGGGACUGUUUUAAAUCAGCAGACUGGAAUCUGCUGCUGGAAACAGAUGCGGAUAGUAUGAACAUUGAUAAACAGGUUGCCGGCUUUACUGAUUGGGCUCUAUUUUCGUGUCAGCUGGUGAGGCGGAGGAGGGUGGCGGACCUCGCACAGUUGUAUUUUUGUCUGGCAGAGCCUGACAAAAAGCCAGUUUGGUAUUUUUGUGGACUGAGGCGCACCGAGGUCCACCAAGCUGGGCGUGUUGGCGAGGCAGGGGAAGGUGUCGAAAGAAUCAGCUGGUGCAGUGACAUUUUCGUGUUUGCCGGUGGCGUAUAAAGUGCGCUGAAAGCUCGCUGAUUCAAACCUGGUCAUCUUUCAGCACAGGCGGAGCGCAGCUGGUCCAGAGGUAUUUUGGUAGACCAGCGCCGUAUCGGCAUACGUCACCGAUGCCUCACUGGCAGGUUUCCACAGUGUCAGGCACAUUUCAGCAGCCAUUAGCACAUUACAGUGCAUUAAAUAAUCAACAACAACUAAUAAUCAACAACAACUAAUAAUCUGAGUCAGCACAUACAUUUAGAUCUAUAUCUGACAUUUGAACAAGAUGGAGGAAGAAAGGGAGAAGUUAUAGUGGAGAUUUGUUGCGGAGCGGAAGGUGGAGUAGCAGUGGAAUUGGGAGUGACAGCAGUGUCAAAUCUGUUGAACAACAGGUUGAGUUCAUCAGCUCUUUUCAUAUCACCCACCACUGGCUGUCUUUUCUUUUGACUGCUGUGUCCAGAGGUGGUACUGAUUCCUCUCCACGCUUCACGGAUGUUGCUGUGUUGUAGAUUAUUCUCUAUCUUAUUUUUGUACUCCAGCUUUGCCAUCUUCAGUCUCCUCUUCAACUCUUGUUGCACUUGUUUGAGUUCUUUGUUAUUAUCUUUAAAAGCUUUCUUUUUCUGGUUAAGGAUUGCUUUAUGUCUCUUGUGAUACAGGGUUUGUUGUUGGGGAAACAGCGAACAGUUUUUGUUGGUAUAACUGUGUCUCUACAGAAGUUGACAUAAUGGGCUCUAUUUUCGUGCCUCGCCAGAGACGUGCCGCAGGCGCGGCAUUAGUCAGGUCCGCGGCGCCAACAAGGUGUUCCCAAGCACAAUUUGGUAUUAUGGUGAGCGGCGCAGCCCGGCCUAAGUAUUCCCCUCUCAGCGGCGUAAGUCAUAACGAGGGAGGAGAGAGGGCGUGGUGUGGGUUGAUCACAGCCGAGACCUGUAUUGACCAAUAACAUCAGCUCCUCUCCUCACCAGCGAGGCGUAUUACUAUUUUCGUGAAGUAGUCAAAGAAAUCAAAAGAUGUCUGAAGACAGUAAUGCCACACGAUGGCGACAGAAGGCAGCCCCUCAACAAGUGUCGCUGUAAACACUGCAGAGGCAGCCUUCACAGUCUCAUAUAAGCACAGAUGGAUUUGGUGUGUGAAAGUUUGGACCCACUAGUAAGACAAACACUCUUUCCACAAAUAAAUACACUCACAUAAAGUUGCUUAUAUUCAAACCUCACGUGACAAAGGUAGGUUGUGCGCACAGAUCACAACAUAAAUUCCAAAAAUGGCAUUAAAAUCGGAACCAUCUGUGCGUAAUGACGCAUCACGCUCUGUGGCCUGGCUCUUUCUUUUAUAGAUGUUGGAAUAUAAAAUAAAUUUGGCUCACAAAACUGAAUAUUAUAAUAUUCAUAUGUAGGUUUAAAACAAAUAACUCACCUGAUCACUGAAACAAAUCAUCUGUGCAGCAGCUGCAGCAGGACGGGGAGAGGACACAGAGACAUGUCCAGGUCGAGCUGCGUGAGAAAUAAGAGGAAGAAAGAAAAGGAGGGAGAUGAAUUACAUAUCUUUUUAACUUCAUGAUUUGUGUCUAUUUACUAGACAUUUAAUUUAAUUUAAUGCGGUUUCAGCUUUGUUAAUUCGGUCAGGUUGUGUGUCCAAACGCGUGCCAAACGCGCUCAUGAGAUCAGAUAUAGAUCAGAAUAUAUCUAUAUAGAUCUAAAUGUAUGUGCUGACUCAGAUUAUUAGUUGUUGAUUAUUUAUUGCACUGAAAUGUGCUGAUGGCUGCUCAGAUUAAACCUGACCAACCACAGCCUGAUCCAAGGAAAGCAGCAACUUGUAACUUUUAUAUCAAAUAAAUAGGGAUAUAACAAAUGGGGAUAUGAUCUAUUUAGACAGACCUUGUAUAUGUUUAUGUGGAAAUUGUAAAAAAAAAAAAGGUCUGCUUCUGACAUCAAAUCCCUUGCACCAGUUUAGGCAUUGAGAUUUACAAUAUAAAAACUGUUUAACUUGUCACUUGUUUCAGAGGAUUUCAGUCCAUUUCAUGAAAAUAUCCUAGCAGUCGUUUUAACCCCAUACUCAUUCUGAUGAAGGCCAGUGGUAACAUCUUAGCAUAAAUUUGCCAUGUCAAUUUAUCAGGUGAGAUCCUCUCUGCCGUUUUACUCAAUCACCUUUCUUCAAAACUCAAAAACAGAGAGAAUUUAGAAAGUGUUUUUCUUUAAUAUCACGUCCACAAAAUUGAAUACCUGAGGUGGUGAAGUGUAAGAUGUUUCUGCAUAUUUAAGCAUGUCGCCGUUUCUCCUAAAGCCAUCAUGUAACUCUUUUAAAAGGUCAACUUUGGAGUCUCUCAAUAUUGAAAGUUGGAGCACAGCAUGCAGAGUAAACAGAAGAUCUCAGGAAAGCGAAUCUUAACUUUCGACUCAGGGACUCAACUUAUUUGUUUCAUUGUUUCCAGGUGUCUGAGGACUGAUGCACUUGCACUUUAAUGUAAAACUCAGUAACCACUUCAGAUGGCUUAAUCUUUAAGCUUGUAAUACUAAAUCUUUAAACCCCAAUUCAUCAUUGUAAGAUAUAAACUUCCUUUAACUUGAUCAAAUUGACUUUGUUUGUUGACCUUUUUCAAGUGUAACACUAGUAUAGAGAGGUCUGUUUUUCUUUUGCAACCUCUGGCAAAGCAGUGCACAAAAAUUCUCAACCACCGCUCCCUGUCUCUUUCUCUCAUUGGUCGCUGUGGGUUAUGUAAACACUGAAAUGUGAGCUUUCCUUCCUCACAGGAGGAGGCGUGGUUUGACACCAGAAGUAUGGUAGUAUGGCAAAGGUGAAUGUGUAUAUCUGUGUGUGUCAGAUUGACAGUGUGUUGCCAGCCGGUCCUCCUCUUCACACUGCUGCUGUCACCGCCUCCUCCUGUCUCCUCCCCCACCUUCAUCCCUCACUCUCUCUGCUGCCCCUCCCCCAGCCUCUUUAGUAAUGUGGGUUAGUGUGUGUAGCCAUGUGAGACAAGGCAUCUUACCUUCAUGCUUACUUGUGUGUGAGUGUGUAGGAUAAUCCCUCACCAUCGACAUGGGUUUAAAAGGGUCGUCAGGUUCACAGGCUUGUUUUGAAACAGCCUCCAACUUUAUUGUCACCUAAUACCUGACGUCACAUUUUCAUGUUUUUGACUCUUGCUUUGCACUCUAUUCUUUUCAUCCACCUCCUCAGCAUUUUUUUCCUUUCCUCAUCCCUCAAAGUUUUUAGGCCUUUCAUUCUAUUUUAUUGGACUUUUCAAGCCUCCUAACUCCACGCUGCUCUUUUUCUUUCUUACCCUGUUAAAUAUAUCACACAGUUUUGGUUUUGCAAUUUCUCUGGUAUUUGCAGCAAAUUUCUUCUGUUUUCCAUCUUGCCAUCCUUGACUUUAAUGGUUUCACAGUAACGUGUUGGUAAAUUUACUGUCUGUGUCAUUCUAGGUGUUUAUGAUGUGUUUAUUGCCUUUACGAUGUGUGAUAUCGUCCCAUAAUGCCAAACUAGAAUUUUCCAACUUGUGCGCUGACCAGAAAGGAGUAGCAGAACAUGACUUUAUCUCUGCUCCUUUAACCCACUUAUUUUUUAUCCUUUUCUGCUUUUACUCUUCAUUUUCUGGAUUUUGUUUUACUUUUUUUUUUAACUACAGUUUUUGUUAAAGCUUUCAUUAAUUAUCCAAAUACAUUUGCCAGAUUUACUUCUUGGCACAAUUAUAGAAGACUUACCAAAUCAACAAAUCUUUCAAGAAAAGCUCUUAUUUUUCAAUGUCAUCCAUGUAAUUCAUGGAUAUAAUUUUAGCGUGAAUGUGUGUCGACUACACACAGGACAUUACAAAAAAAAAGUUUGUUUUGAGCUUAUUUUGUUAAUCUAUAAUUCAAAGUUGUGAAAGAGUUUACAAAAAUCAUACAGUUUGAGACUUUUCUUUUUUGAAUCACUUAGUUUUUCAGUGUCCUGUCCAUAAUCUUUUCAAGUAUUUGCAGACUCCACUCAUACAGACUGUCUUAAGGUGCAUUUUUAUCCUUAUCCAGAAAGAAACUUAUUGUCUAAAAGACAGUCAUGCUUUUUAUAAGCUGCCAGUGAGAUGACAAUAAAUAAAUAGGCCAGAAAAAUCUAACAACCAGUGUACACCCCUGCACUUAUCCCCCUUCUCUUCUUUGAUUUUUUUUUAACCCCUAUUCCUCUUUCUCUUUCCCCCUUGUCAUUCUAUAUUUUCAAUAACUGAACCUCAUUACCCUUGUUACCUAAGUCAGCCUUGCUGGAUGGGGCGUGGCUUGCUGACAUCACACACUCCUAUGUCAGUUGGCUGGGGGAUGGGAGAAAAGGAGAGAGGGAGACAGGAAGGGCAGCACAAGCAGGGGAUUUCCUGCAAACGACAGGCAGGGGGAGCUUUCAGCGACCCAUUGUUUUGUAAUUGUCCCAAUGGCCUUCUGUCCUCACUGGAGCACCGGUAAAGCUGCGAGAGCAGACCAGAGCGUGAUGUUGAGAGUGUCUCACACACGUUGACGCGCUCUGGUCAGACAGGACACUGGGAAAGUGUGUAAGUGGAAUUAGGGAGGAACACUCAACAGCUGGAGGGAGUUUCUAAGAGUGAAAGUGUCAAGACAACAUGGAUCUCUCACCAGAGUAAGAGAGAAAAAACUUUCAACCACAUGACAUGGGUGAGUAACUUAAAACUGUUUGACUCAUGGCUGUGGUGUCAGAGCUUUUCUGGCUGCUGUACUUUUCACAUUAGCCUCUCUUUUUCCUUGUGUCAGUAUCAGUCCAUAGCUUUUCUGCUGCAUGUCUACUUAUCUGUAUAUGCUGAAAUAUUCAGGCUGGAGGGGGUUUCUAUAACACUGACCUAGAUGUGGUGCAGUGCCAAGUCUGUGUCCGGGCCACUCAGGCUGAGUAGAGCUCAGAGGUUUCAUAAGGCAUGUUAUGAAAUAGAUGCAGGAGUUGUCCUUGUGCCAAAAAAAAGUAUCCUUGUUGGGGUUCUCAAGGACCUCUAUGUAAAACUUCUUUCAUAAAACAUUAGCUUUUCUUUUGAGAUCUGUUUGAAAGAACAACGAUUACCCACAGAAGUGUUUGAGCAGAAAAAUUUCUAGCGAUAAAAAGUUGCUGCCUGUCAAGGAUUGGUUGCCAUAAUUGCUCUACGAAUAUGUGAGAAAAAAAACAAUUUACUUUAAUGAACUCUAAAGCUCAGACAAAUAUGUCUCUCUCCCACUUCAGUCUUUAAAUAUGGAUAAAGUUGCUUAAGUUCUGCAGUACUAUUGCUGUGCAUACACACACACAGAACAAAAAACUGCUUUCUCGUCUUUUCAAGAAUAACAUCUACAGUAGGGUGCAGAAAAUUUCAGAAAGACAGGCUGAUACAUUUUGUGAAUGGAAUGUAUAGCUGGAGUGGAGUGACAAGACAAUUGCAUAGGCUGAGGAUGUUUGAUCUUUAGAAGGCAUCCGUUAUCAAUCAACCAAAAGAGAACAACAAUACAUUACAAUACAUGUUUUCUGGUGAAACUGAGUAUUUGCCGCUCUAGAUUCAAGUUAAAGUUUGGUGUAAAUGAGCUUUACAGUGUUAGCUCAGUUAUAUCUUGUUUAUCUUCUUGUAUAUGCUAGGAUUACCAUGGGUUAUGUGGCCUUAAAGAAGGACACUGUUUUGAUCAUAAUGUUACUUUGCUUUGUAUGUAGAUAUUUUUGGGAACUUGACUAUGACUCCAAUUUCUCUCUGAGUCCUGUACUGUUCACAUGCAAACAUUGCUCUACUGUCUGGGUCAAAGGGUCUGCUGCUCUGUCAUGUAUAAGCAUACUUGUGCAAAGGUUCAUUUUUUUCUCAUGACUCUACAUUUCGAAGUAAGCAUGGAUUAAAGGAUUUGACAUACUUGGGGCUCCACGCUCCAGUUUAGCUAAGAGGUUCAAUCACAGGCCCCUUGUCAGAGGUUACGAUCUCAAGAGCCAGUGGUCAAGGUUAAAUCUGACCACUGCUUUUUGCCCCAUAUCAUCCCCGUGUCUCUCCCCAGUUUCCUACACCAUCCAUUGUCCUAUUCUUUUAUUUUUUAGGGACCUUUCAUUCAGGGAAAAGUCUACACUUACACAGUGAAUUUGGUCUCAUUUCCACUCUAUUGUACGCACAGCUCACUUCCAGUCCCAAGGAACUGUGAUUUUUUUUUUUUUUUCUGGGGCAAGCCUGGACAGAACCUGGAAAGCACCUGGAACUUGUUCAUUUCACUGCAGUCAUGAUUUCUAGUGAGUUAAAACAAAAAGGAUCAUUAAUUGCUUGCAGAAAAAAUAAAAUCAGGGGUGUAAUUCUUCAGAAUUAAUCCGGAACCCUGGAUUUUCCACAUUUGAAAUGCGUUUUACAUGAUACAGGAUACCUGUAAGAACCUAUUCUAAAAGAAAGUCAGAUAUAACCUGUUAUAACCUGUGAAAUUAGGGGACCUCUAGAUCAAGUUAACUUAAAGGCUUAAAAGCAGGUGCAUACUUCAAAGUGUUCCACACUCAUGUCCAAGCGUAGGGGAACAAGUGCCAGUUCACCCCUAGGUCACUUGUUUGGAUGUUCAUAGAGAAGCUAGUACCUGUAGAUCCUUCUUAUUAUAUGUCAAAUUUAAACAGUAAGAAAUUCCAGAGGAUAAUGUUAAAUUUAGCAGCAUUAAUAGUCUGUAUCUUCAGUAUGUUACAUGGAAAAAAACACCACCAUACUCUUAUCCAGUCUCAACACACUUUAGAGACUUGCAUAUUUGCAAUACUUCAACAUCCUUCUCCUCUGAGAAUAGAUAAGUGAGUCAUGUAAAUGUGUGUGAAAAAAAUGUAACAUUCCUCCAAUUUUUCUCAAUUACAUGCAAAAAACUAAGUCCUUGUCAUUUUGUACAUUUAGCCUAUGGUGAUGAAAAAUUCAUAGUACUGAAAUUUUGCUGAAACUAAUUUAUAAAUUUGUUGAAUGCAUGCAAAUGGGUUCCAAAUAGCUCUCAAUACAUUUGACAUGACUUUAAUGUGUUUGCUGCGAGUGAAUGAGGGAAUACAGAAAAAAAAGUUAUAAAAAAAUUAUAAAAAUUAUACUUGUUUAUCAUUGUGAGGUAUGUGUGUGUGUGUGUGUGUGUGUGUGUGUGGGGGGGGGGGGGGUGUAGCUGCCAUGUUACUCAAUGCCAAUCAGAUG